rnacentral:tRNA from 1 species
CGGAAUAGAGCUGGUAUAAAGAGCGGUUCAUUUACACUGAAUAGGAGAUUAAGAAAUAUAUUCUGA